AAAAGUGUUAACUGAAGACGUCAAGGAGAAAAGGCCUGUGGGACCAUCAAAGAAGCAGAAAAAACCACCUGGGAUAGAAAAGGAUAUUGGAGAGCUUGAGUGGCUGCUGAUUUUUCACCUACAUGGUUUGAAAUGACGUUUCUGUUGCAAGUGUUUUCUAUUUAUAUUUGCUCAAGAGCAGUUAGCUUUCUUCACGCAGUUGCAAGUAUCAUUCCAAACAGUUUCAUUGAUGCAGAUCCUUGUGAAGUUAUUAACAUCUGUUUUUUUUCCUGUUUUAGCAUUGGUUACAUCUAAAACACCAUGGGGCUAGGAGUGACAUUUGAGCCAGAUAACUGCAGAAAAUGGCCAUGGAGGAAGGCUCUCCAGUGCCAUUUUCAAUGAGCCCGUAUGUGUGCUAAUAUGGUUUAUUUUUCUUUGCUUGAACGAUAUUUUUUUUGGGCAAACUGCUGCUGUUCAGGACAACUAAAAGAAGCAUUUUCCUUGCCUCACAACAUACAUUUAUCUACUCUCAUUCUAAUACCAGUGUUCUUUUCUUAUUCGA